ensembl:snRNA U6 U6 spliceosomal RNA
GCUCACUUCAGCAGCACAUAUACUAACAUUGGAACAGUACAGAGAAGAUUAGCAUGCUCCUUGUGCAAGGAUGACAAAUUCGUGAAACAUUCCAUAUUUUU